ACGAACGCUGGCGGCGUGCUUAACACAUGCAAGUCGAACGAAGAGCGAUGGAAGCUUGCUUCUAUCAAUCUUAGUGGCGAACGGGUGAGUAACGCGUAAUCAACCUGCCCUUCAGAGGGGGACAACAGUUGGAAACGACUGCUAAUGCCGCAUACGAUCUGACCUCGGCAUCGAGGAUAGAUGAAAGGUGGCCUCUAUUUAUAAGCUAUCACUGAAGGAGGGGAUUGCGUCUGAUUAGCUAGUUGGAGGGGUAACGGCCCACCAAGGCGAUGAUCAGUAGCCGGUCUGAGAGGAUGAACGGCCACAUUGGGACUGAGACACGGCCCAGACUCCUACGGGAGGCAGCAGUGGGGAAUCUUCCGCAAUAGACGAAAGUCUGACGGAGCAACGCCGCGUGAGUGAUGACGGCCUUCGGGUUGUAAAGCUCUGUUAAUCGGGACGAAAGGCCUUCUUGCGAAUAGUUAGAAGGAUUGACGGUACCGGAAUAGAAAGCCACGGCUAACUACGUG
rnacentral:rRNA from 1 species